rnacentral:misc_RNA from 1 species
GAUGAAGAACGUAGCGAAAUGCGAUAAGUAGUGUGAAUUGCAGAAUUCAGUGAAUCAUCGAAUCUUUGAACGCACAUUGCGCCUCCUGGCAUUCCGGGAGGCAUGCCUGUUCGAGCGUCAUCAAACCCCAUCGUGCAAAUGAAUUAUUUUUUUUGCGCGGAAGUGACGAUUGAGCGAGAAUAACAAAUCCUCUCGCACCUCGUCGAAAUGAUUGCGGGCGGAAUUUGGGAUCGGGUUCCUCGGCGUAGUGUAUCAAUGCAUAUUUAUGCAACUUGCCGCGGAGUUGAGCCUGACCCACGCGUUCUCGCCGUACAAACACCUCAUUACUUUACAAGUUUUUGACCUCGGAUCAGGUAGGGAUACCCGCUGAACUUAAGCAUAUCAAUAAGCGAGGA